GGGGGCGUUAUGGAUUCGACGACGGUGACAAAACCUGAGGUGCAUGCCGUGAUGACAGCCAAUCACGUUAAUCCAAAGCUGUAACUUAAUAGUUGCCAACGACGACAACUACGCUUUAGCGGCUUAAACCCCGCUAACGGUCUAUCGCAAGGUGCCUGUACCGCGCGUGUGACUGUCAUAUAGAACAGGAUCGCAGCAAAGUAUGCCUUGGGCGGCGCUGUUAAACUUUUACAAGGCUCGUGUUGCACGUCCUGCCCGUCGGGCUGUGCCGCACUAAAUCAGUAGACGGAAUCUAAGCAUGUAGAGCCGAUGGCAGAGUGCUGGCGGACGCGGGUUCAACUCCCGCCGCCUCCACCA
rnacentral:tmRNA from 2 species